rnacentral:misc_RNA from 1 species
UACAGAGGUCCCGAGCGUUGUUCGGAUUUACUGGGCGUAAAGGGUGCGUAGGUGGCUGGGCAAGUUUGAUGUGAAAGCUCCGGGCUCAACCCGGAAAAUGCAUUGAAAACUGCCCGGCUUGAGGAUCGGAGAGGAGACCGGAAUUCUCGGUGUAGCAGUGAAAUGCGUAGAUAUCGAGAGGAACACCGGUGGCGAAGGCGGGUCUCUGGACGAUUCCUGACACUGAGGCACGAAAGCCAGGGGAGCAAACAGG